rnacentral:rRNA from 1 species
GAGUUUGAUCCUGGCUCAGGACGAACGCUGGCGGCGUGCUUAACACAUGCAAGUCGAACGAUGAAGCUGGAGCUUGCUCCGGUGGAUUAGUGGCGAACGGGUGAGUAACACGUGAGAAAUCUGCCCCUGACUCUGGGAUAACUGCGGGAAACUGUAGCUAAUACCGGAUACCUUCCCUGGUGGGCAUCCACCGGGGAAGAAAGAAUUUCGGUCAGGGAGGAUCUCGCGGCCUAUCAGCUAGUUGGUGAGGUAACGGCUCACCAAGGCGACGACGGGUAACCGGCCAGAGAGGGUGACCGGUCACACUGGGACUGAGACACGGCCCAGACUCCUACGGGAGGCAGCAGUGGGGAAUAUUGCACAAUGGGCGCAAGCCUGAUGCAGCAACGCCGCGUGAGGGAUGAAGGCCUUCGGGUUGUAAACCUCUUUUAGCAGGGAAGAAGCGAAAGUGACGGUACCUGCAGAAAAAGCACCGGCUAACUACGUGCCAGCAGCCGCGGUAAUACGUAGGGUGCGAGCGUUGUCCGGAAUUAUUGGGCGUAAAGAGCUCGUAGGCGGUUUGUCACGUCUGCUGUGAAAAUCCAAGGCUCAACCUUGGACUUGCAGUGGGUACGGGCAGGCUAGAGUGCGGUAGGGGAGAUGGGAAUUCCUGGUGUAGCGGUGGAAUGCGCAGAUAUCAGGAGGAACACCAAUGGCGAAGGCACAUCUCUGGGCCGUAACUGACGCUGAGGAGCGAAAGCGUGGGGAGCGAACAGGAUUAGAUACCCUGGUAGUCCACGCCGUAAACGGUGGGUGCUAGCUGUGGGCCACAUUCCACGUGGUCCGUGACGAAGUUAACACAUUAAGCACCCCGCCUGGGGAGUACGGCCGCAAGGCUAAAACUCAAAGGAAUUGACGGGGGCCCGCACAAGCGGCGGAGCAUGCGGAUUAAUUCGAUGCAACGCGAAGAACCUUACCAAGGCUUGACAUAUAGAGGAAAAGUGCAGAAAUGCACUC